rnacentral:lncRNA from 1 species
AUGUGUGUGACAUACCUGACAGUCUUCCCUGCUUGUCACAGGGAGCCAUGGAAAACCAUUUUCUUGAUUAGUGCAGUGUAGUUUUAAAAAAAAAAAAAAAACUAAGAAAAGAAUAGUGUACCUUAGCAGCAGUUUUUGCAUUGUUUUGAUUCAAAAGCUGGUAUGAUAGAUGCCUUUUAGUUUUUCCUGAACAGGGUGCCAGGGAGUUUAUGAUAUACAGGCGCUGAGGCUGCCUCUGGGUUUGGAGGUAGCAUCUGAGGAGGCAGCCGCUGAAGGCUCAGAGCUCAAUGACAUACUGCACACAAACUGGCUUGUUUAUAGUAUCACUUGACAUGUAACAUCUUUCUCUUUUUUUUUCUUCCUUCCUUUCUUUUUCUUUUUUUUUUUUGGCAUUUGCUCAUGUUACAUAAUCAUACCAUGUUUCUCGCGCAUUUAUAAUGUGGCAGGUGCUAUGGGAUGCAGAUGUUUAAAAAACAUGGCCUUUGUCUUCAAACAGCGUAUCCCUAGUGAAGUCAUGCAUAUGCAUGAAUCUUAUUAUUAUCCCCCUCUGUGGAUAGCACCCAGCUGCAAGCGGCUGCUGUCAGUCUGCCUACUGUAAGGAUAUGAAAACCAAGGCUAGGGGUGAUGAAGUCUUUUCUGAAGUUCAGUGGUGGUGCGUGGAGCUCUAAGCUCUGAGCUGGAUUCGUCCACUUUCAGAUCCAUCCUCCCUUCCUGUGCCAUAGACUGCGCAGCAAAAGCAACCGGAGAGGCAGUCUUCAGUCAAUCAUUCCCUGCUUGGGGGCCGAGUCUGGGGUCAGUGUGACUAUGAGAAGUCUUAUGGCAAGAGAUAUUGGAAAGGAUAUUAACAGGAAACUCACCCGUUAGAGAGACCAGAAAUAUACCCUUAUGAAAACGGGCAUGCAGGGCCCCAGGGCUGGGUAAGGACCUGCAGUGGCUUGCUCUGAUUCUUCAGACAGUAGGGAGGAGGGGUUUUUGAGGGCACCGAGUUUCUGGAAAGAUGUUUCGUGCGGCUUCACCCUUAUCUGAAAGCUAGCCCAGAGCUUUUGGCUCAUGCCAAAGGCUUAUUCCUGGAUUCUACUGAGUCACUUUGAAAAUAAACUGAACUCACGGUCCCACCCAGUUAGCUGGUGCCGUCCUCACCUUGGCGAUGCUUUCACGGCUUAGUGCAUUUUCCGUAAGUAGAGCCAGGAAGACUCUGUGAACAGAGGCACACAUAUACUGGGAUCUAGGAAAGGGAGGGGUUGGCUGAGGACCUCUGAGCAUCUCCACAGUGCCACUAGCUUACUUACAGUAGAAUCAAAGGCCUUAAACAGUCAAAUGAACUCACUUGCAAGAGGUGUGUUUCAGCUUUCAGUAGUGGCUCAGAGAGAUUCAGCCAGUGGGAGGCGUGCCCUCUACUGCCAUCCAUAGUCUGUGGAGCCAGAAGCUACGAGUUAACUCCGAGUGGAGUCUAGACUAGAAGAGAUGGACAGUGGGACGGUCUAUUGUUUUAUCUGGUACUCAUUCAGUGUAUCUAUCUUUAUAAGCCAACCUGCUCUUAAAUGUUUGUUUAAAGAACGACAUAACAGCAGAAAACAGCUACCAGAACGUCAUGGUCCCUGUGAACUUUGUCACCAUCCCUGAGACAGUCCUGACAGUCCUACUGAUGACUUUCCAGAUGUUGUCAAUGUGGAGUGUGUUGGAGGUCCUCACGCCCAAGUCUAGGAUGACAUGUUGACGUGGACAUUCCUGUCCUUACUGGCCUCAUUCUUGUGUCCCCUCUACUCUUUGCCCCAGAGCUUGCUCCUGUCAUCUUCUCCAUACAUCAGUGUCUGUCCAGCAUCUCCAGAGUCAGAUACCCCAGAGUUGUCUGGUGCUCUGGGUGUCUUUGUCCCUUCUAGCUGUGUCCCCUCUCCACCCUUUGUCCUUAGUGCAGGACUGUGCCCUAAGGGUUGGUCGCAUAGUCUCUGAUCUGUUUCCCCACUACAUCAUCUUGCUUACUUCUACCCAGUGGAAUGUUAGUAGUUAAAAAUAAAUAAAAACGAGGGCCGAAGGAUCAGCAGGUAAAAGCCAUGGCUGCCAAGCUUCAAAAUGAGUUUGAUCUCUAGAAAGAGAGAACCAAGUGCCGACAGUUAGCUGCCCUCUGACCUCCACAUACAAACCAUGGCAUGCUCUCUCCACCCUCUG